rnacentral:lncRNA from 1 species
AUGAUUGGAAAUCCAAAAGCAUUAUUCUUCAAUGGAUGAAGUGGAACUAAGAAAGGAGAUUGUGAUUGACAUCAAAUCUAGAUGGCCAGUGCUGUUCACAGACAGAAAAGCUACAUUUGUCCUAGGCUGAGGAAAGAUUGACCCAACACAAGUCCACCACUGACAUCAAACAUUAUGAGGGGUGUCAGGGUCCGUGGCGAUGACCAUGCUGGCUCCUCAUCUCGGCAAGGGACACACUUUGUACGUGGACAAUUGGUACAGCAGUCCCAUGCACUCGGAAAAGCACCAAGUGGUAUACGAAGAUAUUUUUUCCAUCUGAUCGACAUUGCUGUCCUCAACGGCAGCAUAGUUCACCGCCAACUAACAGGUAAAGUAAUUACCUACCAAAAAUACAGAGAGAACCUCAUGAGAGAGCUGCUGGAGGAGCACCACACCCCUCGGCGCCCAUCCACUGGGGGUCUUCCUGCUGUAGACAAUCCCCUACGCCUCACUGCACGGCAUUUUCCCUGCAAAGUCCCUCAAACUGCUUCUCAAGGUUGCUCUGGAGUUCAUGAGACUGACUGGUGUCUGUGGACCUCAAGAAGACAUUUUAUGAAGGCCUGGACAGUCUUGACAAAGACAGUUCCAAUCAAAGGAAGAGAAACGCUGUGCUCCGAGGCUUGCCAUACUUCCUGCGAGAAGACCCUACCAAUUUUUUUUAAGACGUGAG